GACGAACGCUGGCGGCGUGCUUAACACAUGCAAGUCGAACGGAAAGGCCCUGCUUUUGUGGGGUGCUCGAGUGGCGAACGGGUGAGUGACACGUGAGUAACCUGCCCUUGACUUUGGGAUAACUUCAGGAAACUGGGGCUAAUACCGGAUAGGAGCUCCUGCUGCAUGGUGGGGGUUGGAAAGUUUCGGCGGUUGGGGAUGGACUCGCGGCUUAUCAGCUUGUUGGUGGGGUAGUGGCUUACCAAGGCUUUGACGGGUAGCCGGCAUGAGAGGGUGACCGGCCACAUUGGGACUGAGAUACGGCCCAGACUCCUACGGGAGGCAGCAGUGGGGAAUAUAGCACAAUGGGCGGAAGCCUGAUGAAGCAACGCCGCGUGCGGGAUGACGGCCUUCGGGUUGUAAACCGCUUUCGCCUGUGACGAAGCGUGAGUGACGGUAAUGGGUAAAGAAGCACCGGCUAACUACGUG
rnacentral:rRNA from 1 species